UGGCAACACACCAUGAUUAAAAGCAAACCUGGGAGGAAAGGGUUUAUUUUAGCUCGUGAGUUUCAUGAAGGGAAGUCAGGGCAGAGAGCAUGGAGGAGUGUCACUUCCUGGGUUAGUCCCUCGGGCUUGCUCGGCCUGCUUGACCGGCUGCCCAGAGAUGGUGGCUGAGGUUCCCUCUUCUCAGAUGACGGUGACUUGAGCCAAGGUGACCAAAAACCCAAACAACAACAACAACAACAACAACAACAACAACAGCAACAAAUCCCACCACCACAACAAAACAACCAGUACACCCUCUCCGCAUGAAUGGACACAGAUAACUCACAUACACACACACAUACACACACACACACACACACACACACACACACACACUAGACAAAACAAUAUUUAAAACUUGGAAACCAUUUUAAAAGUUGCUGUCGCAGUUGCUAAUUGGAGUGUUAUAAAAUUUCCCUUAGUAGGGGCAGGGGAGUCAGCUCAGUGGUGGCGAGUUCCAGAGCUCAACUCCCAACCCCCACAGUGCAAAAACUGCAGCAGCACAUUUAUUUGCAGUUAGGCAUUUGUUUCUUCUACCUUUAUGUAUCUUCAGGUCCAGUUUUUCUAUUAAAUAUUACAGGAAUGGUCACUUGGCUCCACUUUAAUUGAAAAAUGCCUUUUAACAUCAUCUGCAUUUGGCUAGCCAUCUCAGAUCAUUUGAUUAUGCUUCUUUUACACAGGUUGAAAUGAAAUAUGACUCUGUUCAAGACUCAGACCGAGACAUGCAUGGGAAAUCACACGUAUUCACCUUACUCCCUUCUGCCCACACCGUGUAGGCAUUAAUAGCGAUGCCCCCAUCCCUGUCUGUAUCAGAUGCUCAUUCUGACCUUGGAGAAACAAGUCCGUUCAUUGUCUUCCUCCUUGAAAGAGAAAUUAAAAACUACUAAACACACAUUUCCCCUCUCCCAGUUCCAAGUCUGCUUUCCACCACAUCCUGUCUGGACAUAAAAAUGCAACCUCCGAUUCGAGUUUGUUAUUGGCUGCUGCCUCCACCCUUCAAAACUGCAAGAGUCAAGAUUCUACAACAAGAAUGUCUCUGCCAACUUGCUGCUAACUGGGAAGCAUAGUGAGUCAUUGACAGGGCAAAGGAACAAGACAGGCAAUCUUUACUGCCUAACACAGGGUAUCAACAACGGUCAAAGGGGGAGUUUUCCCUGUCUUUAAAAUAACAUUAAAGAGUCAGAGGACCAGGA